GUUGAAACACUGGUUCUAGUACGAUCACCGAAGUUAAGCAACGUCGAUCCUGGUCAGUACCUAGAUAGGUGACCGCUUGGGUAUACCAGAUACUGUAAG